ACGCUGGCGGCGUGCUUAACACAUGCAAGUUGAACGGUAUGACAUGGAAGCUUGCUGAAGUGUCAUAUAGUAGCGGACGGGUGAGUAAUGCAUGAGAAGCUGCCAUUGGGAGGGGGACAACAGUUGGAAACGGCUGCUAAUACCCCGUAUGCCGGAAGGUGAAAGGGAGCGAUCCGCCCGAUGAGGUGCUCAUGUCCUAUCAGCUGGUUGGUGGGGUAACGGCCUACCAAGGCGACGACGGGUAGCCGGCCUGAGAGGGUGAACGGCCACACUGGAACUGAGAUACGGUCUAGACUCCUACGGGAGGCAGCAGUGGGGAAUAAUUGGGCAAUGGGGGCAACCCUGACCCAGCGACGCCGCGUGGGGGAAGACGGCCUUCGGGUUGUAAACCUCUUUUGUACGGGAAGAAGGAAGUGACGGUACUGUACGAAUAAGUCCCGGCUAACUACGUGCCAGCCGCGGC
rnacentral:rRNA from 1 species